GGUAAGGUGGCUGAGUAAGCGGUGGAUUGUAGCCCCAUAUACAGAGGUGUGAGCCCUCUUCUUACCA
rnacentral:tRNA from 1 species